UUGCAGGCUGCCCUGAUGUUGUGCAUUAAAGUAUGCAGGCCUCUCACUGCUGUGGCCUCUCCCGUUGUGGAGCACAGGCUCCGGACGCGCAGGCUCAGUGGCCGUGGCUCACGGGCCCAGCCGCUCCGCGGUAUGUGGGAUCUUCCCGGACUGGGGCACGAACCCGCGUCCCCUGCAUCGGCAGGCGGACUCUCAACCACUGCGCCACCAGGGAAGCCCUAGGGGAUAAUCUUUUUGAGGAGUUUGAAACAACUAGAUGAGUUUAAAAUGAAUUUUUGGACUCAAGGAUCAGAAAUCCACUCAGAGAUGUCAAAAAAAGAAAGAAGG